rnacentral:misc_RNA from 1 species
CAUCUGCAGUUUUUACAUGGCUCAUAUUACAAAACUAAAAGUUGAAGGUUCAACAAAAUCUUAAGCUUGUUACAAUUUGGUUCAUCUCUUAGGAUGUAAUGGGAGAUGGACUCCUUGAUUGCACCCAAGUUACUAAAUCCUCACGUGUUGCUACAAAACAACCAGCUCUUUCUUCACUCUGCCGAAAUGGUGCAGAAAGUUUUUCAACAUGGGAAGCAAAUGCAUUGGCUAGUCCUCGAGAGAAUUUGUGAGUUCCCGUACCAGUGUGAGCUGAAAAAAUUUCUGGCAAUUCCUUUUUGCGAUGAACAAAUUUGGAUAAAGUUCCCAUCCAUUCUUCAAGUGCAGUAUGGGCUGCACCAACAGACAGUGAGCGAACAUCCAAACUCCACUCAUCUACAGUUUUGUUGUGUAAAUCUGGAUAUAAACCAUAAAGAGUUCCCAGAUAUAGCAGCUCAUGUGCUCUGCCAUGAAGAUUUCUAUUACGACAUACAUCAAUCAAGCAGUUACAAAAGGGUCUUCGUGCUUCUACUGCAGUGUCACUGACAAUAGCCCUAAACUCCUCCUUAACAGUCUCAUAGCUAGUUUUUUCAUCUUCAAUCAACCUCACAAGUGCAACCAACCUUGGAUUAGCUUGCUGCAAACAAGUCAGUACCCUGUUGGCAUCCUCACUCUCCUCACAAAGUGACACAACAGAGAGCAAGCAACCACAAAGUCUAUCAUCUGGUUUAACCCCUCCCUCAAUUGAAACAUUGAAAACCCUAACCAGAUCAUCAAUUCUCCUAGCUUUUCCUAAGCACUGAAUCAAACAAGUGCAUCCCAUCACAUUUAUAUCAACGCCCAACUCAGACAUCUCUUCAAACAGCUCCAUUGCCUUACUGGCAUUCCCUCCGCUACCAUAUAUGUUUAGCAUCGCUGUGAAGCUCCAACUAUCUGGCCUACAGUGCUCUGAUCUCUUCAUAUCCUCAAAUAAUCUCUCAGCCUCCUCCUCCAUACCAAGAUCUGCACACAUGCUCAGCAAUGUAUUAUACAAAAUGAAAUCCAUUGGCCAAUCAUUUGAUCUCAUUCGUUCCCAUAGUUCCAUUGCAUCCUUAGCCCACCUAGCCUUCCCAUAAAUCUUGGCCAGUGCAGUUAAUGAUUUCUCAUUUGGGGUUAGCCCUGAUUCCACCAUUUCCUCGAACAAACUCCUAGCCAGACCAGGUUUCCCAGCUCUGCCCAUUGCCUCUAGCAAUGUAUUGUACACAACCAAAUUAGGCUGUACACCUACAGAUUUCAUUUCUUGCAAUACGAACCUAAUUCCAUCAUAGUCCCCUGCUUCACCAAACAUCUUUGCCAAAACAGAGAAUGUAAUGGGAUCAGGUUUCCACCCACUAGCUACCCCUCUCUCAUACAAACUUAACACCUCCUCAACCUUCCCCAAUUUAGCAUAAACAUCUAAAACAGCAGAAUACGUAACCUCAUCAGGCAUUAAACCAGUUUUAUACAUUCUCUCAAACCACUCCAAUGCCUUAUCAAACAUCUUGCACCUCUUAGCACAAGUUAUAAUAGUUGAAUAUGUAAUGUUGUCAAGUUCAAUUUCAUUGCUUACCAUCUCAUUUGCGAGGUUGUCAAUGAGCUCAAACUGCCGUCCAAACCGCAAAGACUUCAUCGUGACAUUGUAGAAUAUAGUCUCCAUAGGAAACAAAUUCUGGGUCUUGAGCCAAUUGAAAAAAA